rnacentral:rRNA from 1 species
UACGUAGGGGGCUAGCGUUGUCCGGAAUCAUUGGGCGUAAAGAGCGUGUAGGCGGCCUGGUAAGUCCGCUGUGAAAGUCCAGGGCUCAACCCUGGAAUGCCGGUGGAAACUGUCAGGCUCGAGUCCGGAAGAGGCGAGUGGAAUUCCUGGUGUAGCGGUGAAAUGCGCAGAUAUCAGGAGGAACACCUAUUGCGAAGGCAGCUCGCUGGGACGUUACUGACGCUGAGACGCGAAAGCGUGGGGAGCAAACAGG